AAGCCUCAGAUGUUGGUUAUGCCUUCAACUGUGGCAGGAACCAUGGGAGGUGUUUGGAUUAUAAUCUUAUACACAGUGACUUUUUGGCAUAAAGGCUCUUGCUUGCCAAUUGAUGAAACUGGAGGCAGACACUAUGAGGAAAAGAGGACUAGCAACUUCUUGUCGCAUGAGGAAAUUUCAUUGAGACAGAUUGCUUCGCUCCAGUCAUUGGCUUCCAGGUUGACACAGACUUCUGAACAAGUGCAACUGGACACCAACGAAGUGGAUGUGUCAAGUGACGCCGCCCACAAUGUGUCAAGUGACGCCGCCCACAAUGUGUCAAGUGACGCCGCCCACAAUGUGUCAAG